UACGGAGGAUGCAAGCGUUAUCCGGAUUUAUUGGGCGUAAAGCGUCCGCAGGUGGUUUUCCAAGUCUGCUGUUAAAGCGCGAGGCUUAACCUCGUACAGGCAGUGGAAACUGGAUGACUAGAGUAUGGUAGGGGUAGCGGGAAUUCCCAGUGUAGCGGUGAAAUGCGUAGAGCUCGGGAAGAACAUCGGUGGCGAAAGCGCUCUACUGGACGACAACUGACACUCAGGGACGAAAGCUAGGGGAGCGAAUGGG
rnacentral:rRNA from 1 species